UACGAAGGGGGCUAGCGUUGCUCGGAAUCACUGGGCGUAAAGCGCACGUAGGCGGCUUUUUAAGUCAGGGGUGAAAUCCUGGAGCUCAACUCCAGAACUGCCUUUGAUACUGAGAAGCUCGAGUCCGGGAGAGGUGAGUGGAACUGCGAGUGUAGAGGUGAAAUUCGUAGAUAUUCGCAAGAACACCAGUGGCGAAGGCGGCCCACUGGCCCGGUACUGACGCUGAGGUGCGAAAGCGUGGGGAGCAAACAGG
rnacentral:rRNA from 1 species